UACGUAGGGGGCAAGCGUUGUCCGGAAUCAUUGGGCGUAAAGCGCGUGUAGGCGGCUCGAUAAGUCUGCUGUGAAAGUCCAGGGCUCAACCCUGGGAUGCCGGUGGAUACUGUCGAGCUCGAGUCCGGAAGAGGAGAGUGGAAUUCCUGGUGUAGCGGUGAAAUGCGCAGAUAUCAGGAAGAACACCCGUGGCGAAGGCGGCUCUCUGGGACGGUACUGACGCUGAGACGCGAAAGCGUGGGGAGCGAACAGG
rnacentral:rRNA from 1 species